UUUUUAGUAUAAUUAUCUCCCAUGCAAGGUUUGGGACAUACUUAUACUGAAA
rnacentral:pre_miRNA from 1 species